rnacentral:tRNA from 1 species
GCGGUAAGGCACCAGGUUUUGAUCCUGGCAUGCCCUGGUUCGAAUCCAGGUACCCCAG